GAACUCGUAGCUCAGUUGGUUAGAGCGCUACAUUGACAUUGUAGAGGUCAGAGGUUCGAGUCCUCUCGAGUUCACCA
rnacentral:tRNA from 5 species